GCAGGAGGUCCGCUGGCGCAUGCGGAAGCUCAAGUACAAGCAACUGGCCUUGCUGGCAGAGUCCUGUGCCACCCUCUCACAGGAGCAGCACUCGCAGGAGCUGCUGGCUGAGCUGCUCAUGCACCUGGAAAGGCGCUGGACAGAAAUUGAAGAUUCCCACACAUUAGUGACCGUCAUGAUGAAGGUGGGACACCUCUCGGAGCCACUAAUGAACCGCCUGGAAGACAAGUGCCUGGAGUUGGUGGAGCACUUUGGCCCCAGUGAGCUGCGGAAGGUGCUGGUGACGCUGGCAGCUCAGAGCCGGCGGUCCGUGCCCUUGCUGCGGGCCAUCUCCUACCACCUGGUGCAGAAGCCCUUCUCUCUGACGAAAGAUGUGCUCUUGGACGUGGCCUACGCCUAUGGCAAACUCAGCUUUCACCAGACCCAGGUGUCCCAGCGCCUGGCCACCGACCUGCUGUCCCUCACGCCCAGCCUGACUUCUGGUGAGGUGGCCCACUGUGCCAAGUCCUUCGCCUUACUCAAGUGGCUCAGCCUGCCCCUGUUUGAGGCCUUUGCCCAGCACGUCCUGAACAGAGCACAGGACAUCGCCCUGCCCCACCUGUGCAGCAUGCUUCUGGCUUUUGCACGUCUGAACUUCCAUCCAGACCAAGAGGAUCAGUUCUUCAGCCUGGUAGGGCCUCUGGGCUCCCACUGCUCGACCUUUAUCCUCCCCUUCAGCUAAUGGCUCAUGAACCGUCCUCCCAAGAUCAGCUCGGGCUAGACGGAGGGGGAGAGGCCACUAUGCGUGGCAUGGGAGGGCAGGGGGAGCUGGUUGGAGCCAGGCGUCCUAGGGAUCACUGAGAACACAUGAAAUCCUGCUGUCUGGUUGACUGUCCUGCCAGGCUGCUCUGGGGGGUCCUGCCUCUGGUGCUCCUUUUAAUGCCCUGUUGAUGCUCAGAAGCUCUGGUGGGCCUUCAUGCUAUGUGCAUCAG
rnacentral:sRNA from 1 species